rnacentral:rRNA from 1 species
UACGUAGGGGGCUAGCGUUGUCCGGAAUUAUUGGGCGUAAAGCGCGUGUAGGCGGUUCGAUUAGUCUGCUGUGAAAGUCGGGGGCUCAACCCUCGAAUGCCGGUGGAUACUGUCGGGCUAGAGUACGGAAGAGGCGAGUGGAAUUCCUGGUGUAGCGGUGAAAUGCGCAGAUAUCAGGAGGAACACCAAUUGCGAAGGCAGCUCGCUGGGACGUUACUGACGCUAAGACGCGAAAGCGUGGGGAGCAAACAGG